rnacentral:rRNA from 2 species
GCAUAUCAUAGCGAGAAAGAAGCACAGGGAUUGCCUCAGUAACGGCGAGUGAAGCGGCAAGAGCUCAAAUUUGAAAUCUGGUCCUUUCAGGGCCCGAGUUGUAAUUUGCAGAGGAUGCUUUGGGUGCGGCCGCGGCGUAAGUGCCCUGGAACGGGCUGUCGCAGAGGGUGAGAAUCCCGUCUUGAGUCGCCGGUUCGCGCCCGUGUAAAGCUCCUUCGACGAGUCGAGUUGUUUGGGAAUGCAGCUCUAAAUGGGUGGUAAAUUUCAUCUAAAGCUAAAUAUUGGCUGGAGACCGAUAGCGCACAAGUAGAGUGAUCGAAAGGUUAAAAGCACCUUGAAAAGGGAGUUAAAUAGCACGUGAAAUUGUUGAAAGGGAAGCGCUUGCAACCAGACUCGGCCGCAGAGGCUCAACGGGCACGUGUGCCCGUGCACUCCUCUGUGGUCGGGCCAGCAUCAGUUCUGGCGACCGGUCAAAGGCCCCUGGAAUGUGUCGUCCUCCGGGACGUCUUAUAGCCAGGGGUGCAAUGCGGCCAGCCGGGACUGAGGAACGCGCUUCGGCACGGAUGCUGGCAUAAUGGUUGUAAGCGGCCCGUCUUGAAACACGGACCAAGGAGUCUAACAUCCACGCGAGUGUUCGGGUGUCAAACCCGUGCGCGCAGUGAAAGCGAACGGAGGUGGGAUCCCCGCAAGGGGCGCACCAUCGACCGAUCCUGAAGUCUUCGGAUGGAUUUGAGUAAGAGCGUGGCUGUUGGGACCCGAAAGAUGGUGAACUAUGCCUGAAUAGGGGCGAAGCCAGAGGAAACUCUGGUGGAGGCUCGCAGCGGUUCUGACGUGCAAAUCGAUCGUCAAAUUUGGGUAUAGGGGCGAAAGACUAAUCGAACCAUCUAGUAGCUGGUUCCUGCCGAAAG